GGGGAUAUAGCUCAGCUGGGAGAGCGCUUGCAUGGCAUGCAAGAGGCCGUCGGUUCGAUCCCGAUUAUCUCCACCA
rnacentral:tRNA from 1 species